rnacentral:lncRNA from 1 species
CAGGCCAUGGCGACGAUCUGCGGGGAAGGCCGGCUCCGUCAGACCCUUCGGAAACCCCAACAAAGCGCGCCGAGCGCCGCCCGCGCCUCCCCCGGCCCCGCUCACCUCGAAACUGUGCUUGACGAAGGACUUGGAGUAGAAGAAGCGGUGGAACAGCACCUGCCCGGUCGCCAUCGCCACCUGUGAGGGCAGAGAGGAGGCGGCCGUCAGCGCGCGCGCCCGCCGCCAUUUUGUGUCAGGCGCCACCGCCCCCCGCCACAAUGGCGCCCCCCCGGCGCGGCCCGGCCCGGCGCGGCCCCACCUGCGGCAGGCGCAGCAGGAUGCCGGCCGCCUGGAUCAGCUCGCAGCCCAGGAUGCGCAGGUACAGUCUCCAAAGCUGAGCAGUGAACUGCAUUGGCAGAGGAUGGGCAAAGCUGGAAUGAAGUGCAUUCCUCGUCUCUUGCUGGUGAAGCCACUGCUGGUGUUGAGCUUUAAUGCCUUUAAGUCUGUACCACAAAAACGUCAGUGAGCCUUUCCUACCAUCUGAUCGUGUGUUGGAGAGCAGCAGUUUGGUGCAUUUUCAGAUUGGGCAUCGUGCUUAACGUCCUUUUGAUUCCAGCCUGUCUUCCAGCGUGUUCAAAACUCACACUUGCUUCUCCCAUUGAGUUGCAUCAAGAUAAAACAAGUGGAAUUUAUCAGAUCUUACCAUCACCAGACAACGCCGUGGAGGCAGCAGACAUUCAGAUGCAGAUCAGAGAGAGCGUUUCAUCUGCAUGCACGUUAUUUGACUGAAGUGAACUGGUUUGAGAACUGGCAUUAAAAUACCAACACUGGCAGUUAAUGCUCCAGCCUUUGAACAGCAGCAGGCAGCUUCAGAGGAAGGGCAGGGCUGGUGGCAGCACCACCACUGCUGUUUGCUCAUACAGCUCUGACUGCUCUCUGUACUCACCAUCCUCCAAGUAAAGACACAGGAGCCAAAUUGGCUCCAAGAAGCAGUUUCUGUUCACCCUGGCUCUGACUCAGCCCCCUCCAAGGGCCAGCAGUGCCACCUACCAGCUCUUGGAGUGGGGAAAUGAGCAACAAGUCUUGGUCUUAUCUGCACCGAGUGAUCACACCAUGCUUUUAGAAAGCAAUAUGCUUCGCAUGUGUGCUGGCACACACAUCUGCCUCAGCUCCAUCCUGGGAACAUUGCUGUCACUGAUAGCAUUUCCAUCUGGAAGUAGGAGAACUGGGAUAACAUCAAAUGGCAGAAAGUGAUAUAGAGCUUCGGGGAGGUGCCCUGAGCUCACAGCACAGCCCUGUGCUUUGGUGAGAGGCUCUUGUACCUGGUGCUGUAGCAGAAGACCUGAGCAGUUCGUUCUUUACACUGCACACCUCUCCAGAGCUGAUCCUCCACGUGCAGAUGUGCUUCUCGCAGAUUAACACCACCAACCAGUUUGUAGCUGCAGGCAUGCGAGCAAAAAGGCAAAGGGUCAAAGCUCCAGCCUGGAAUAAAUCACAGUGAGCCACUAACACGCAGUGUGAGCAGAAACGAGCAGCAGGGGAGAUGGAAAAGAACAGGCUGUGUCCUGACAGGCAGACCUCAGCAAGACAGAUUUAGCUCUCGUUCAGCCAGGAGGAUAUUUGUCACUGCAAGGACAGGCCUGCAUUAUUUUUAGUGGAUGCAUCAUGAGUCCGCAGCUUUAAAGGACAGCGAAAGAAAGAUCAGCUUGUCUGGUGAGGGCUUAUCCUGUUCUCUCAGAGCACACACAGCCCUGAGAAGCCGAGGAAUGUGUCAGUACAUACAAGACACCAUGUGCUGCUUCAAGUACCACGCCUGCUUUUAUUGCUGCUAGCUGUGACACUAGCAGUCAGCAAACCCUGACAUCACACGUGCUGUCCUUACCCUGGGCCAUGCGCACAGCAGCGUGCCUGCAGGCUGAGCCCGACGGAGCACUUCCCGAUAAAACACACUGGAGUUUGAAAAAGAUGGUCUUGCUUUCUACCGGUCCACGUGGCCCCAGCUGUGACACGGCACUCAGCCCUGCAGUCACCUUGCUGCACAGCAGGAGAGGUGAUUCCCUCCUCUUGCCGCCAGCACUGUGUGCUGCAGCCACGCAGCAGAGCGAGGCCGUGCUGCUGGGUGCUGUGAGCUCAGGGAGGCUCCGUGCCGUGCUGGGAGCCGCAGAACCACAUCCUGCACGGGGCCUGAGCAAUAUCUGAUAGACUCACUGCGCCAGCUUGCAAACGUCUCGGUGCGAUCAGUGAGCAGCUUUGCCAGGUGUUUCCCCUACAGCCAGAUACAGUCAGCGCUGAGACGCUUCAUCUCACGUAAAUCAAGCGUAUCUGUCACCACUUUGUCCAUUUGCGUAUCGGAAUUGAUGGCUCAGGAAGAGCUGCGUGCCACCAGAGCACCUCCGAGUGCUGUGCCCGUGUUAGGUCAGGAGGGCUGCUGUGCGCCCUCCUGACCUGCAGCUGCUUGCUUGCAGUGGGUGCUCCCCUUUCCGAAGGGGCAGUGCGCCACCUAGCGGGCUGGAGCCGCACUGCAGGGGGGGUGCGGUGCUGCGGAGCACGGCCAGCCGAGGGACGGGGAAUUAAAGUGCUAACAUAUGGGCAGGAUGCUUUGUUUUACUGAGAUAACCAUCAGACGUCACCUCUGAUUGAUCGCGAGGUGCUUACAAAUAAAAGGAGCUGCCAACAACAAGCUAUCUGUCCUUGCAGCGCUGAGAAAACUGACCCAAACGCAAGCAGGGUGCACAAUGGGAAUAAGGGAUAGCAAGCAAGGAGCUCCCUCCAGAACUAUUAUCCAUCAGCCCACAGUGCUCGCUAGGACAGACAGCAGUGCAGGACCCUGGGCCAGGAGGGUCUCCAUGCUCUUUCCCAGAGUUCAAGUGAAAAACACUGAAGAAUGGCUUACAGAAGACAAGCUUUAUUACUGACCUUUUACCCAGCAGGAGGCAGCACUUCGUUACAAAAAAAUAACCCAAACCUCACAAUCAAAACUGGGAACGUUUUGCUGAUUGCCUGUCUCAGCAGCUGUGCAAAGCCUAUCUGCUUUUAGCUUCAAAUGUAAACGUGUUAUCAUUAGGGCUAGAAAAAAGGCUUUUGGACUUCAUUCUGAAGCAGAACAGAACUCAUGCUGGCUCUAUGCUGCCUCAAAUGGCACCAGACUUUUGUUUCGGUGUUACAGUGUAAUCAGUGGAAGUGAUCAGCAUGGUCAAUUAACUUCUUUUAAGCCUCUUUGUGUAUAUUAUUAUGUAUAUAUAUGUAUAAAUGUAUACUUCAUGCAGCUGCUGGUCAGGGUGCCCCAAGCACAGCUCCCCAUUUCAGUACAGCCUCAGUGCCCCCAGCAGCCCCCCUCCACCCAUGGUGGGUUUUCAAAGAGCCCAGGCAGGCCAUGCAGUGGCUCUCCCCAGGUGACUGCCCAGCUUUCAACCAACCAUUCAACCAUUUCAACCAUUCCCAGCCUGGAUCUAACAGCCUUACGUUGAGGGGAGCUUUACCUGUUGGACAUUUCCAGCUUUUAAGCCCACAUUCAGGUUCAUCUUCCAGAAUACCACGUAAGAAAGAGAGCCAACAACCCCAACCUAUUGCCUGUGCUCCAGCUGCAGGUUUGUUAGCCCAGCCAGCUGCAGCUCGUUAGCCAGAUCCCUCCACUGGCUCAGGCACUCACUCCUUGUACCUACCCUGAGUCAGGCUGCUCUUGGAGAGCUGAGAAAGGCUAUUUUGCUCUGUCAUUAACUGGAAAUUUCAGGAAAGUUUUGGCAAAGUCCAUCUGGCCUCCCUGCAGUGCUUUUUUUUUUUUUUUUUUAACCAAGUCAUGAUUUGGGAUGCUGCUAUGAUUAAUGGGGCAUGCAUUGCAUUAGCUCAUGUGUCAGGGCAAAUAAGUGGUGUCCCCAGUGGGCCAUCCCUGGCCUGUCACAUCUCAGCCUGUCUGAGCAGCCUGUUAACAUUCAGCAGGCUGCUGAAACCCGCUGGUGAACAAGGGGCGUUGCUGGCACUUUGGGACUUCCCAUCAAGAUGUGUUUGUUAAUCCAAAUUGGCAGAGCCAAAACAACAGGCACACAGCUGGAUCUAUCCUAAAAUGAAUGGCUCCUGUGGGAAAUGCAUGCACCCGCAGUGCUGGCGUUCUGUGCUGCAGGCCCUUGCUGCACUGCACUGGUGUGUGGGAAUAACAUGAACAUCCAUGGCAGCUCUUCUUUCCUUCCCCUCUCCAUCCUGUAUUUCACAGAAUCACAGAUCCAAAGUUCCAGUUUGUGCCCGUUGCCCCUUGUCCUCUUGCUGGGCAGUGCUGAUAAGAGCCUGGCCCCAUCCACGUGGCUCCUGCUCUUUGUAUAUUAUAAAUACUGAGAAGACCCAUUUCUCAGCCUUCUCCUCCCCAGGCUGAACAGUGCCAGUGCUCUCAGCCUUUCCUCAUCAGGAGGUGCUCCAGGCUUCUCUGCAGCCCUCCAAUGGACUCUCUGCAGCAGUUCCCUGCCUGCCUUGAACUGGGGAGCUCAGAACUGGGCCCAGUGCCCCAGAUGUGGCCACACCAGAGCAGAGCAAAGGGGAGAAGAGCCUCCCUCACCUGCUGGCCACACUCUUUGUAAUGCACCCAGGAUACCAUUGGCCUUCUUGGCCACAAGGGCACAUAGCUGGCUCACUGUCAACCAUUGGUCAACCAGGACCCCCAGGUCCUUCUCCACAGAGCUCCUUACCAACAGCUCAGCCCCCAACCUGUACUGAGGUGUUGUUAUUCCUCCCCAGGUGUAGGACUCCACCCUUGCCCUUGUUGAAGCUCAUCAGAUUCCUCUCCACCAAACUCUCGCACAUGUCCAUGCCUUGCUGAAUGGCCAUACUGGCACAUCAGCCACCCCUGCCAUCCACAUAUCACCAGCAAACCUGCUGAGGGUGAACUCUAUCCCUUCAUCCAGGUCACUGAUGAAGAUACUGAACAAGGCUGGGCCCAGUACCACCCCCUGGGGAGCACUGCUACCUGCAGGCCGCCCAGACUCUGCUCCCUGGGCUCUCCAGCAGCCUGGUGCUGCACACAGGGCUGCAGGCACUGCAUGGCACUGUUCACUGCUCACUGCCAGCGCCCUUGCAGCCAUCCUGCCUGCUGCUGAUGCCUUCUGAAUAUUCACACCUGUCCCAGAGAGCCUCCCCACCAAGUGAACAGCGUGCAGAUGGCUGCCUCCACCAGCAGCUCUGCUGUCACCAGCCCAGUGUUCCCAAAGCAAAUCGAUGACCUCUGCCUGCACAUCAGUCCCAGCGUCCAGGUGCUCGCCUUCAUUAAUCACAGUGCAAUCUCCGAGGUGGGAAGGCAAGGGCUAAACUUUUCAAAGAAUAAAUGAAAAGAGGAGUGGAGUAGAGAAAGUGACAAAUACAGGUCAUGUUGUACAGAUAUUAGAGCUGUAGAUGUAAAGGGAGGGAGCAGUAAAAAUUCAGGAGGCCCUCUAUCUCCUUCAGGAUGAGAGAAAAUACUUGUUUUGUUCCUUUUUUAUCAGGGUUGUGCUCCGUAUGGGUAUUACAGCAGGUGGUUUGGGGCUCUGUGCUGCUCAUUGUGCCUGAAGGAGUCAGAAGAAUGGAUGAAAGAAAGUCCUGAGAGCCCUUUGAUGAACCUAGAGGUCAUUUCCAGCCCAGUCCGUUCUGGGAGUCUCUCAUUCUAUGAAUUGCAAUGCUUAGCUACAACUUUCAGGUAAAAGAGUUAGGCAACGUCCUGCUGUUAAACACAGCAUCCUCCCCAUCACAGCCCCUCCCAGCAGCCUUAUGGGCUUCAGAGCUCGGUACCAACACUGAUAUCUGACACAUGGCUUUUAUUUCUCCUUUCAUCAUAGUACGUACAACAGGCUGUGGAUAAAACCAUUGUG